GAAAUGCGAUAAGUAAUGUGAAUUGCAGAAUUCAGUGAAUCAUCGAAUCUUUGAACGCACAUUGCGCCCGCCAGUAUUCUGGCGGGUAUGCCUGUUCGAGCGUCAUUUCAACCAUCAAGCCCCGCGCUUGUGUUGGGGACCUGCGGCUGCCGCAGGCCCUGAAAACCAGUGGCGGGCUCGCUGUCACACCGGGCGUAGUAGAUUUUAUCUCGCUCAGGGCGUGCUGCGGGUUCCGGCCGUUAAAAAGCCUUUUUUACCCAAGGUUGACCUCGGAUCAGGUAGGAAGACCCGCUGAACUUAAGC
rnacentral:misc_RNA from 1 species